rnacentral:rRNA from 1 species
UACGGAGGGUGCAAGCGUUAUCCGGAUUCACUGGGUUUAAAGGGUGCGUAGGAGGGCAGGUAAGUCAGUGGUGAAAUCUCCAAGCUUAACUUGGAACUGCCGUUGAUACUAUCUGUCUUGAAUAUUUGUGGAGGUGAGCGGAAUAUGUCAUGUAGCGGUGAAAUGCUUAGAUAUGACAUAGAACACCAAAUUGCGAAGGCAGCUCACUACACAAUCAUUGACUCUGAGGCACGAAAGCGUGGGGAUCAAACAGG